AGCGGAGUUAACCGAAGAGGGGGUCGAGGAGAGCCGGAGUCGGGGACCCAGGAGUUUCCUGUGUCCAGCGCUGCCGGAGCCGCCUGAGAUGGAGUCUUGCUCUGUUGCCCAGGCUUGAGAGCAGUGGUGUGAUCUCGGCUCACUGCAACGUCCGCCUCCCAGGUUCAAGUGAUUCUCCUCCCUCAGCCUCCCGAGUAGCUGGGAUUACAGGCGCGUGCCACCACGGCUGGGUGACCAGCACCCAUGCAGAAACUACCUAGAAGUUGCCAAGCUAUCAGUCAACUCAGCAUACAAAAAGAAACUUACCAUUCUAAGGAUCUUAGAAGUUGUAUGCCAGGAAAUGGGAUGAAGACCAAAUGUGCCAUGUUUCAGAACAGAGUAAGACCCCUGGUAAAGAAGAACUGAAGAUAUUAUACAGAUACCAGAUAUAGCCUAAUUACAAAGAAAGCAUUAACCUGCCUCUGAGGUGACUAAAGGGGAAUAAUGGUGAUUUUGC
rnacentral:lncRNA from 1 species